rnacentral:lncRNA from 1 species
ACGAAUUGCAGCAAACUAUUGAAGUAAAUGUUGCUUUGUCUUUUUUUUUUCUAUUUGAAUAAAGCGAAAUUUUGUAGAACUCAAUUAAGCUAUGCAUUGAAGAUUCUAAUAUCUUAUAUACUAUAGAUGAUAAACAUAUUAAUGAUGCACGUUUGGGACUCUCAAAGAUGUUAUUUCAAUUUAAGAUAAAGACUAUCUCUGAUUCUCACAUUUUCGGUUUUGCUUUAGGAUGUUAAAUUAUAGUUUUGUUUGAUAUUACAUCAGAUAAAAGGAGGGUGUUGAACUUAGAAAAAGUAACGUAUGAGUUCUAAUUAAGAAGAGUUAUUUUUUUCAAUAACAAUCGGUUUUAUUAUCCAUGACGAUUACUGAUGAUAAAAAAUAGGGUCUAAGUCUUGUAAUUACCUUCUACCCACACGAGACAUGCAAUACAUUUCAAAAAUACCAUAUCAUAUAGUUGUCUAGACAAAAGGAAUUGUGUUGAAGAACAGACGAAAAACAGAUAAACAUUACAAAAAGGAUCGAUGUUCACUUUUUAACAAUAAAAAAUUGGCUCAACAAAAGCAUGGUUUUACAUUUGGUUAAGAGGUGGUUCAUCUCUUGGUUGUGUGUGUUCAAGACAUAUAGAGACCAUCUCCUCUAGAAAAGUUUAUCCAUCCUCAAAACUCAACGGUCAUAGAAUUCAGCCAUUAUAAAGAUUAUAAUGUAUGGAUUACUGAGAGCAUAACAACAAAAUAAAUAGAAAAAUAAAAUUUAAUAAAUCAUUCAGUGGCUUUCUUU